rnacentral:rRNA from 1 species
UAGUCCACGCUGUAAACGAUGUCUACUUGGAGGUUGUUGUCUUGAAUGAUGGCUUUCGGAGCUAACGCGUUAAGUAGACCGCCUGGGGAGUACGGCCGCAAGGUUAAAACUCAAAUGAAUUGACGGGGGCCCGCACAAGCGGUGGAGCAUGUGGUUUAAUUCGAUGCAACGCGAAGAACCUUACCUACUCUUGACAUCUAGAGAAGCUUGCAGAGAUGCGAGUGUGCCUUCGGGAACUCUAAGACAGGUGCUGCAUGGCUGUCGUCAGCUCGUGUUGUGAAAUGUUGGGUUAAGUCCCGCAACGAGCGCAACCCUUAUCCUUGUUUGCCAGCGAGUAAUGUCGGGAACUCCAGGGAGACUGCCGGUGAUAAACCGGAGGAAGGUGGGACGACGUCAAGUCAUCAUGGCCCUUACGAGUAGGGCUACACACGUGCUACAAUGGCGCAUACAGAGGGCAGCAAGCUAGCGAUAGUGAGCGAAUCCCAAAAAGCCGGCCUC